UAGAACUCGCUCAUUCACAACCGGGUAGAAUGGAACAGUUAAAAAGUUAUGGAGAUGAUAUUGAAGGAAAUUCGGGACAAAUGAGCAGCACCUCUCAGCCCGUGGUUGGACCAGACAGUUGGCCACUGCAAGUUCUGAACCAGCAACCAAGAGAUCUUUCUUCUCUUCUUCAAAAACUCCAUUCAGGAGAAAUGGUACAUGAGGCUGUUGCUUGAGGGUGCAAGGAGCAGCAACGACAAAUUGAGAUGAAGCUUAUGUUAGGGAACAUACCACAUCUUCUGGAACUUCUAUGGUCCUGGAUUUCACCUUCAGAAGAUGAUCAAAAUGUCUUCAGGCCUUAUGGUGAUCCUCAGAUGAUCUGAUUUGGUGCACAUCUAGUGCUUGUGCUUAGAUAUUUACUUACUGAUGAAAUGAAGAAUCCUAUUAGGGAGGAGCUUAUGAUUGUUGGUGAUCACAUUAUACACAUGUAUGCGAUGUUUUUGUUUUCGAAGCAACAUGAGGAAUUGGUUGGGAUUUAUUCUUCCCAGCUUGCACGCCG